AUUUAAAACCGUCUCCGAGCCGCGGCGCCUAAAGGGAACAUCCCCAUGGCGGUCCGGCCUAUGGGUAUCGCUGGAAACGGCGUUGCCUUCCUUAUGCAAAGGGGACCCAGCGACGCGGAG
rnacentral:ncRNA from 20 species